UGGCUCAGUUUCCUGGGGGGUGGGCUCAGCCUACUCCACCUCCCCUCAGCUGAGCCUAGAGCAGAGGGGCCAGGCAUCCUUCCCUUUGGCAGGGCAUUUAAGUAAGGAGAUUUGCCUGGAUGGUCCUAGCCUCACAUUU